GUGCUAGCUUCAUCUUCACAUAUACCAAAGUUGGACCAACACAGAGAUUAGCAUGGCCCUUGAGCAAGGACCAUGCAAACUCGUGAAGGGUUCCAUAUUUUU
ensembl:snRNA U6 U6 spliceosomal RNA